rnacentral:lncRNA from 1 species
CUUUCCCCCAACUUGCUAUACAUGUUUUGUAUGUCACCUUAGAAUUUUUUACCUUUGAAACUACAAAUAAACCUAAUAUCCCUCCCAUUUAGGAUUAGUAGUACUAAAUGCCUCCGGAAUUGAUAUGAUUACGACGGGUAAUAGCAUACAAUAAGUAAUCGAGACCAUUCUGUUUAAUAACUUAACGGGGUGGGAAGGGUAGAUAUGGAUAUGAUGACCAUGAGAUAAUGUCAUGUGUAGCUCUCAUUGAGGAGUGAUUACCG